CUUCAAGGCCAUCGAUGUAAUUGCCAUAUAAAUUUAAUCAAAGAUAUGGCAAUUUACCGAGAUUGUAUGAAAAGCUUUAUGCAUUUUUUUUCACAGGAUUUUAUUAUCAUUUUAUAUCUUUUUUAUACUCUAAAAGUAACAUAUUUCUACACAUUUUUUCAUUUUUUUUUUUAGAUAAUAUAAUAAUCGUAACCAUUAUUCUGUCAUUUUAUGUAUUUUUAUCUCAUCUUUCCUCCUCUACAAUCAUCCAUUUUUUUAUAUGUCUUAUUUUCAGUAAGUGUUAGAUUACUAACAAAACAAUUGAAAAAAAUGUAUGAAUUUCUGUAUAUGAUUUUUGUUUAACUUGUUGCUCCUCUCGAAGUUCCAUUACACAAGAAUAUUGUAGUUUAUUUGUAGUGUUUUGUUUUGGUAGAAUGAAUAAAUCUUCCUUCAUCUCUCGCAAUUUAAUGUUUUCUUCACGAUCUCUUAGUAAUAAUGCAUUUUUAAUAAUCUUUUUUUUUAUACAAGCUGUGUCACCAUUAUUAGUUUUUUUUGUUUAAUGUAAAAUGUGUGAUUAUUUUUGCGCUCUUUCACCUUCGUAAUGCCUGUAUUUCAUACAACAUAAGUAUACAAUUAUCUUCACUUUUUCUCUCUUUUUUUUUAAAUGUUAAGAAACUAUUACAAGUUAGUUACAGCUCGGUAUGCGGAUUAAGAUUGAAAUAUUCGCAUACGCAAUGGUUCUCAAAAUGUGUUCUACAACCACAAAAAACGUUCUCAUAAAAUUUGUGAUGUGGUGGCAAAGUUUUUUUUUAAUGUAGGGAGGAGGGGGCGGCAGAAAGAACAUUUUGAAAAAUGUUUUGCAAGGGAAUGAGCAGUGAUUUCAUUUAAAAAUUUAUUUAUUUUUUUGUUCUUUUUCUUCUCUUUCAUUCUGGUUAUUCAGUGUUUUAUUUUGCAAUCACGCACACACUCAUGAGAUUAAGAGUAUUUAAAAAUUCUAUUUUAAAUUUCCUGCAAAAAGAAUUUUGUGAAAUAAAAACAUUUGGUGAAAUGAUACCUUGGAAAGAAAGCAAUAAAAGCCUUUUUGACUUGCAAGUAUUUUUCUUUAUUGGUUUAAUUCAAUUUUUUAAGGUAAUUAAUUUAAAUGCAUUUUUAAUUUUUUUUUUCAAGUAAUCUGUACACUUUAUUUGCAUAUAUUUUUGUUGUAGUCAAAUGAGUUUUGAUAGAUUUAUUUUUCGUUUUAGCACUCUUUCAAUUUUUGCGAUUUUUCCCCAUUUUUUUUUUGACAUGAAACGCGGAAAUAAGAUUUGAUUUUCUGAAUAAUGGGCUGGACAUUAUUCUUAUAUAUUUUUUUCGUAAACACAUAUUUUUAUAAGAAAGUUAAGAUGUCCUUCCAUAUAAAAAAAGAAAACGUUUUAUGAAAACGGUGGUAUAAAUUCGUUCGCCACAAAAUAAAAGUUAGUAAAUGAAUAAAUCUUGCAGUUAACCGUCAGAUGGCGUUAUUUAAACCAAUUUGCAUCAGGCAAUACUAUUUCUAACUUCAUCAUGUAGCGCCAUCUAGACUAAAAAUGACAGUUAGGGUCAACCGGAACAGUUAAGCAACUUUAGUGAAGGCUGUAAUUGGUUCUAGAGUCGGUCACAGUUUGUUUGGAAAUAUCUAUCAGUAUCCUUGCAUCUACGAGAAGUUCUUAGUUAAUACUAAAUCGUGGACCACCCUGAAACCCAUGUCUGCCACUCAAGAAGCCCCUGCCAAGUGACCUGCGGAGUUGAAGUCACUUCCUCAUACUACCUUUUAAAAUCAUAAGGGAUUUUUUUUGCACUCGCGACGAUUACACAAAAUAUCUUAAAAGUGAUAGGCUCUUUCAUAUUAUAAACGGGUACUCUGUAUAGGGACAAAUAUGCUAGAUUUCUGUUUAAAUUCAUUUUCCCUCAGUGCAUUGUGAGCUGAGUCCGAUUUCAAUUUAUGAAUUGGCUUCAAAUAGCUCCAUAUAAAAAAGUCAAGUAGCCAGGAACUUGCUCCCGGCUAAGGAGACCGUGACCUCAGGGUUACACCCUAUUUCACAUUCUGUUUGCAAAAACGGCAUCAUCAAGUUUGGCAAACCUACAACGACGAAAAAACGACCUUGAAUCAGAUCCGGGACAACGGAAAAGGUGGUUGAAACAAAAUCAGGAUCUUACCUAUAUUCAUACUAAGGCAAACUAUAACAUUCCAUUGCCUCACUUUACCCCGUUCUGGCUAAUUCUGCCCCAGUUCUUCCUACUAUUUCCCCAAAAUGCAAAGAACGUACUUAUAUUCUGUAUUAAAAAUAUCUUUACUGCAUUUAUUUGCCGAUUUGGCGGCAAAGAAUCAGCCAAAAUAUGCACUGAAGUAUUAAGAUCAGGAAUUACAGUAUUUUUUGAUUAGUUGCAGUAAAUGCAUUCUUGGAUUCCUGUUAACUUCUGAAGUGUAAUUGUGGUACUCCCUUCAUUAAGAGAGGGGUAUUAUGGCUCCUUCAUCACUUUAAUAAUUCGGCAUUUUGUGAUUUUUCAAUUUUGCAUGUUUUUCGACGCGAUUAACCCAAAAAUGCCCAAAAGGACCCAAAAAACACCCAAAAGGACCCAAAAACACCCAAAAGGACCCAAAACACCCAAAAGGACCCAAAAACACCCAAAAGGACCCAAAAACACCCAAAGUUUAUUAUUUUCACCACAGACGCUGAUGCCACAAACCUCCGUAUUUCCAAUGAACUUUUCUUUAGAAGAUAGUGGAGGCCGGGGCAAAAUGACCCACGGAUAGACUUAGAAAGUGGGAUAUUAUAGUACGCCUUAGAAGAAAUAUUUAUUCGAAGUAAACACGUCCCUUCCUAUUCAUUAAAACGCGAUGAAAAAAUUUUAAUUUGCUGUCUUCCGAUGUCUAAGUCUAUCAGCUUAGUUAGACUUCGACAUCAACGGCAAAGCCGAUUUAUGGUUCUAAGCUAUUGUUCUGUAUUUGAUGGGAUCAGUUGGUCGUAGUGCCAUUAAACUGUAAAAUCGAAAAAACUAUUCCUGUGGAUGUCUAUAGAGAACGAACCCUUCAAGUUCGACUUCAGACUACUUCGAAACGUCCUACCUAUCUUGACGUAUUCACCAAAUAUUGGUCCUUCGAUAUCUUAUUCUGAAGAAUGAUACAUGACCUGCAUUGGUAGCCUGCAACUUGGCCUAGUAGCCGAAUUUUUGCCCUGAAAGAUUCCUUAUGGAGAUCAAGGCUUAUCGCGGCCAAUUGCCUGGCACCUACUCAGCUCUGAUCUCCCAUUUGAACACUUCCAGUCCAUGUUCCCGACUCACAAUGUUUUCUGCCAACCAAUCGUUCACACGACAAGCAACAGAACUAUUACGCUCAGUAAAAGGUCUUGCUUGAAGCGAGGGUUGAAAAAUAUAAAUAUCUUGCGAACAGGGAAGGGAGUCCACCGGACAGACUCUCUUUCACUAUGAUGCGGAAAAGCUAAACAACAGUAAGAAGAAACCAAAGCUUUGUUCGAUACCUUAAACAUCCUUUAAACUCGGAAUUCAUACGCUGAUCAUAUACAAUUCAAUAGGAGUAUGUCAAUGAGUGACCUAUUCCUAUUUUUUACUGACAAGGAUUUCUCGUUCCUUGACUGUCACGAAACGUUUCUCAGGUUGCUGAAAAGGGUUUCUUCAUUUGAGUUACUCCUUGAAGGAGAAAGUACUGCCUAGCGAAAGAAAACCUGUGAGAACUUAUUAUCAGGCCUGAUAGAGUUGAUAUUGAAACAUUUAGAUUGAAUUUUAAGGAAUUAUUGAAUUUUAUACAUAUUUCGGAUGAGCCAAAAUUUCAAAAAUUGAAAUUUCCAGCUCAUUUUAGUAGAGUAGACUUUCGUUCAAUCGGCUCUUUUUCAAU